rnacentral:lncRNA from 1 species
AUGUAUAUUCUGCAGUUAUUGGGUAGAAUGUUCUGUAAAUAUCUGUUAAGUCCAUUUGUUGUAGGGUAUAGUUUAAGUUCAUUGUUUCUUUUUUUUUUUUUUAGACAGAGUCUUGCUCUGUCAUCCAGGCUGGAGUGCAAUGGUAUGAUCUCGGCUCACUGCAACCUUCAUCCACUGCAACCUUCGCCUCCCGGAUUCAAGCAAUUCUCCUGCCUCAGCCUCCUGAGUAGCUGGGAUUACAGGUGCCGGCCACCAUGCCCAGCUAAUUUUUUUAUCUUUAGUAGAGAUGGAGUUUCACCAUGUUGGUCAGGCUGGUCUCAAACUCCUGACCUCGUGAUCCCCCACCUUGGCCUCCCAAAGUGCUGGGAUUACAGGCGAGUUCAUUGUUUCUUUGUGCCACUGUGCCCGCUGAAAGAAAGUCUCAAGAACCACAGAUGUCUUGGAUAUUUCUGUAUUUCAGACUUUACUACCCAGACACCAAAAGAAGAAAUGAUUAACCCUGGAGGCUGCCUCGGUCUAGGUGAAAAAAUAUAUGUACGAUGACAGUGCGAUCAUACUAGAACUCAGGAUUAAGAAACUCACUCAAAACUGCUCAACUACAUGGAAACUGAACAACCUGCUCCUGAAUGACUACUGGGUACACAACGAAAUGAAGGCAGAAAUAAAGAUGUUCUUUGAAACCAACGAGAACAAAGACACAACACACCAGAAUCUCUGGGACACAUUCAAAGCAGUGUGUAGAGGGAAAUUUAUAGCAUUAAAUGCCCACAAGAGAAAGCAGGAAAGAUCUUUAUAGCAUUAAAUGCCCACAAGAGAAAGCAGGAAAGAUCUAAAACUGACACCCUAACAUCACAAUUAAAAGAACUAGAGAAGAAACACAUUCAAAAGCUAGCAGAAGGCAAGAAAUAACUAAAAUCAGAGCAGAACUGAAGGAAAUAGAGACACACAAGAACCCUUCAAAAAAUCAAUGAAUCUGGGGGCUGGUUUUUUGAAAAGAUCAAUAAAAUUGAUAGACCGCUAGCAAGAUUAAUAAAGAAGAAAAGAGAGAAGAAUCAAAUAGAUGCAAUAAAAAAAUAGACAAAGGGGAUAUCACCACCAAUCCCUCAGAAAUACAAACUACCACCAGAGAAUACUAUAAACACCUCUACGCAAAUAAACUAGAAAAUCUAGAAGAAAUAGGAUAAAUUCCUCGACACACACACUCUUCCAAGACUAAACCAGGAAGAAGUUGAAAUCUCUGAAUACACCAAAAACAAGCUCUGAAAUUGAGGCAAUAAUUAAUAGCUUACCAACGAAAAAAAGUCCAGGACCAGAUGGAUUCACAGCCAAAUUCUACCAGAGGUACAAGGAGGAGCUGGUACCAUUCCUUCUGAAACUAUUCCAAUCAAUAGAAAAAGAGGGAAUCCUCCCUAAUUCAUUUUAUGAGGCCAGCAUCAUCCUGAUACCAAAGGCUGGCAGAGACACAACCAAAAAAGAGAAUUUUAGACCAAUAUCCUUGAUGAACAUUGAUGCAAAAAUCCUCAAUAAAAUACUGGCAAACCAAAUCCAGCAACACAUCAAAAAGCUUAUCCACCAUAAUUAAGUGGGCUUCAUCCCUGGGAUGCAAGGCUGGUUCAACAUACGAGAAUCAAUAAACAUAAUCCAGCAUAUAAACAGAACCAAAGACAAAAACCACAUGAUUAUCUCAAUAGAUGCAGAAAAGGCCUUUGACAAAAUUCAGCAACCCUUCAUGCUAAAAACUCUCAAUAAAUUAGGUAUUGAUGGGACCUAUUUCAAAAUAAUAAGAGCUAUCUAUGACAAACCCACAGGCAAUAUCAUACUGAAUGGUCAAAAACUGGAAGCAUUCCCUUUGAAAACUGGCACAACACAGGGAUGCCCUGUCUUACCACUGCUAUUCAACAUAGUGUUGGAAGUUCUGGCCACAGCAAUCAGGCAGGAGAAGGAAAUAAAGGGCAUUCAAUUAGGAAAAGAGGAAGUCAAAUUGUCCCUGUUUGCAGAUGACGUGACUGUAUAUCUAGAAAACCCCAUUGUCUCAGCCCAAAAUCUCCUUAAGCUGAUAAGCAACUUCAGCAAAGUCUCAGGAUACAAAAUCAAUGUGCAAAAAUCACAAGCAUUCCUAUACACCAAUAACUAACAGACAAACAGAGAGCCAAAUCAUGAGUGAACUCUCAUUCACAAUUGCUUCAAAGAGAAUAAAAUACCUAGGAAUCCAACUUACAAGGGACGUGAAGGACCUCUUCAAGGAGAACUACAAACCACUGCUCAAUGAAAUAAAAGAAGAUACAAACAAAUGGAAGAACAUUCCAUGCUCAUGGACAGGAAGAAUCAAUAUCGUGAAAAUGGCCAUACUGCCCAAGGUAAUUUAUAGAUUCAAUGCCAUCCCCAUCAAGCUACCAAUGCCUUUCUUCACACAAUUGGAAAAAAGUACUUUAAAGUUCAUAUGCAACCAAUAAAGAUCCCACAUUACCAAGUCAACCCUAAGCCAAAAGAACAAAGCUGGAGGCAUCACACUACCUGACUUCAAACUAUACUACAAGGCUACAGUAACAAAAACAGCAUGGUACUGGUACCAAAACAGAGAUAUAGAUCAAAGGAACAGAACAGAGCCCUCAGAAAUAAUGCCACAUAUCUACAACUAUCUGAUCUUUGACAAACCUGAGAAAAACAAGAAAUGGGGAAAGGAUUCCCUAUUUAAUAAAUGGUGCUGGGAAAACUGGCUAGCCAUAUGUAGAAAGCUGAAACUGGAUCCCUUCUUACACCUUAUACAAAAAUUAAUUCAAGAUGGAUUAAAGACUUACAUGUUAGACCUAAAACCAUAAAAACCCUAGAAGAAAACCUAGGCCAUUCAGGACAUAGGCAUGGGCAAGCACUUCAUGUCUAAAACACCAAAAGCAAUGGCAACAAAAGACAAAAUUGACAAAUGGGAUCUAAUUAAAGAGCUUCUGCACAGCAAAAGAAACCACAAUCAGAGUGAACAGGCAACCUACAAAAUGGGAGAAAAUUUUUGCAACCUACUCAUCUGAAAAAGGGCUAAUAUCCAGAAUCUACAGUGAACUCAAAUUUACAAGAAAAAAACAAACAACCCCAUCAAAAAGUGGGUGAAUGAUAUGAACACACACUUCUCAAAAGAAGAAAUUUAUGCAGGCAAAAACCACAUGAAAAAAUGCUCAUCAUCACUGGCCAUCAGAGAAAUGCAAAUCGAAACCACAAUGAGAUACCAUCUCACACCAGUUAGAAUGGCAAUCAUUAAAAAGUCAGGAAACAACAGGUGCUGGAGAGGAUGUGGAAAAAUAGGAACACUUUUACACUGUUGGUGGGACUGUAAACUAGUUCAACCAUUGUGGAAGUUGGUGUGGUGAUUCCUCAGGGAUCUAGAACUAGAAAUACCAUUUGACCCAGCCAUCCCAUUACUGGGUAUAUACCCAAAGGACUAUAAAUCAUGCUGCUAUAAAGACACAUGCACAUGUAUGUUUAUUGCGGCAUUAUUCACAAUAGCAAAGACUUGGAACCAACCCAAAUGUCCAACAAUGAUAGACUGGAUUAAGAAAAUGUGGCACACAUACACCAUGGAAUACUAUGCAGCCAUAAAAAUUGAUGAGUUCAUGUCCUCUGUAGGGACAUGGAUGAAGCUGGAAACCAUCAUUCUCAACAAACUAUCGCAAGGACAAAAAACCAAACACUGCAUGUUCUCACUCAUAGGUGGGAAUUGAACGAUGAGAACACAUGGACACAGGACGGGGAACAUCACACUCUGGGGACUGUUGUGGG